AACGCUCAACCACUGAGGCCCGCCCGCCAGGUGAGGAAUGGCUUCUUGUGGGCUCUUCCUACAGCUACAUCCCUGAAGUUUCCCCUGCAAACCCUGUUCUCACUUUCAGGGAUUUCCGUCUCUACGACUUAGUGUCCCAGGGGACACUCCUACGAGGGGCAGUGCGUGCUGGGCUGGCAUCAUUGCAUGUUUAUGACAUGAACGGGUGUGCCACCUCUUCCUGCCUCUUUUUCAAUUUCCAUAAAAGUCCGGAAUAAAGAAAUCGCAGUAUUUAGCUCCAUCCGUCCGGGCUGUUAGCAGGUGAUGGCGCUGGGACCGGCGGCAAGGACAAGACGGGACAGCACAGCACUGGACAGACUCUGAGGCCCGCCCGGGCCUCGUCUGGGCUCUGCCACUGAGGAGCCAGGAAGAGGAACUCCAACUCAGGUCUCUUCAGCGGUUAAAUGAGGGGUCUGCAUUCUGCGGUCAGGAUUCCACGGCGGAUCUUUGCCAUCCAGCAGAGCCUUGGAGAGUGUGCGGUAAGAAUCAGUCUCAAGUGUACCGUGACUGUGGUGGCCCCACAAAUCCUCACAGACUGAUUAAAUUGCACAGAGUUGAACACACACACACACACACACACACACACACACACAC